CAGUCGCCGCGGUAAUACCGAGGGUGCGAGCGUUAAUCGGAUUUACUGGGCGUAAAGCGUGCGUAGGCAGCUUCUUAAGUCGGAUGUGAAAUCCCUGAGCUUAACUUAGGAAUUGCAUUCGAUACUGGGAAGCUAGAGUAUGGGAGAGGAUGGUAGAAUUCCAGGUGUAGCGGUGAAAUGCGUAGAGAUCUGGAGGAAUACCGAUGGCGAAGGCAGCCAUCUGGCCUAAUACUGACGCUGAGGUACGAAAGCAUGGGGAGCAAACAGGAUUAGAUACCCGCGUAGUCCCUGUCUCUUAUAC
rnacentral:rRNA from 1 species